rnacentral:rRNA from 1 species
AUGCCACCGCGGCCGUCCCUCCAGUCGCUGCUCCUCAUGGCCGCCUCCACCUCCACCUCCGCGGGCGCCGGGGGCUCGGGCCUCCUCCUCGCCGCGCGCCGCCGCUUCCCCGCCGCCUUCGCCACCGCGGGCGGCCAGCGCAUCCGCCUGCUCCACUCCUUCUCCUCCCGGACCCGCCUCCCCCGGCGGGCCGAGCUCGCCUGCUGCUUCGGGACCGCCCCCGCCGAGGCCGUGCCCGCCGCCGCCCCCGCGACCCCGCGCUCCAGGAAUGUUCGUUCGAUGGAGGAGAGAAGGGCCUGUGAAGAACGACUAGGGCAGGUAGUUGAGAAGAUGAAAAAGGAAGGGAUAGAUAUGAGCCAAUGGAGGCUUGGCACUUUUCAACGGACGAUUUGCCCACAGUGCGAAGGGGGCUCAACCGAGGAACGAAGCCUCAGCGUCUUCAUCCGGGAAGAUGGUACACAUGGAAACUGGACUUGUUUUAGAGCAAAUUGUGGAUGGAAAGGCUAUACCCAGCCUGAUGGAGUUUCGAAGGCGUACCAAGCAAAGAAGGACCCGGGAAAUGAAAAUGAAAGUGACCAGGAAGUCAAAGCAAAUCAGCCAGUCAAGGUUAUCAGAAAACUUCGUGAAGAGGACCUGCGUCUCGAACCUCUUUGUGAUGAGCUUGUGACAUACUUUUCAGAAAGAAUGAUAUCGGCAAAAACACUUCGAAGGAACAACGUAUCGCAACGUAAAAGGAAUAACAAGAUUGUUAUUGCUUUUACAUAUAGACGUGAUAAAGUCCUUGUUGGCUGCAAAUACAGGGAAGUCUCUAAGAAAUUUUCACAGGAGGCGAACACAGAGAAAAUUUUGUAUGGUCUGGAUGAUAUAAAGCAAGCACGCGAUAUUAUCAUUGUUGAGGGUGAAAUUGAUAAACUUUCCAUGGAGGAGGCUGGCUAUCGUAAUUGUGUGAGUGUGCCAGAUGGUGCACCAGCGCAAGUAUCAAACAAACUCCCGGAUAAAGAUCAUGAUAAGAAGUAUUCAUAUCUGUGGAACUGCAAAGAGUAUCUUGAUCCGGCAUCUAGGAUAAUACUGGCAACGGAUGCUGAUCCUCCAGGGCAGGCUCUUGCUGAGGAACUUGCUCGACGUCUUGGUAAAGAAAGGUGUUGGAGGGUCAAAUGGCCAAAGAAGAAUGAGACGGAAUUUUGCAAAGAUGCUAACGAGGUACUUAUGUUCUUAGGACCACAAGCAUUGAAAGAGGUUAUAGAAGGAAUUCAUGGGGAUGAGCUUGGAAUUCCUACUGGUUGGAAAUGUAUGGAUGGGCUCUACAAGGUUGUUCCUGGGGAAUUGACCAUAGUAACAGGAGUACCAAAUUCCGGCAAAAGUGAGUGGAUCGAUGCAUUACUGUGUAAUAUAAACAAUCAGGUUGGGUGGAAAUUUGUACUAUGCUCGAUGGAAAACAAGGUCAGAGACCAUGCCCGGAAACUAUUGGAGAAGCACAUUAAGAAACCUUUCUUUGAUGCCAGAUAUGGGGGUUCUGUGGAACGGAUGAAUCAAGAUGAAUUUGAAGAAGGCAAAGAAUGGUUGAAUGAGUCAUUCCAUCUGAUUAGGUGUGAAGAUGAUUGCCUUCCAUCCAUCGAUUGGGUUCUCAAUCUUGCUAAAGCUGCAGUUCUAAGACAUGGAGUACGUGGUCUUGUGAUUGAUCCUUAUAAUGAGCUUGACCAUCAGCGCCCCCCAAAUCAAACCGAGACAGAAUAUGUCAGCCAGAUCCUUACGAAGAUUAAGCGCUUUGCUCAACAUCAUUCAUGUCACGUAUGGUUUGUUGCGCACCCUAGGCAGCUUCACAACUGGACUGGCGCACCGCCUAAUAUGUACGACAUCAGUGGAAGUGCGCAUUUCAUAAACAAAUGUGAUAAUGGUAUCGUCAUACACCGGAACAGGGAUCCAGAUGCUGGCCCUGUGGAUGUCGUGCAGGUCUGUAUGAAGAAGGUUCGGAACAAAGUGAUUGGGCAAAUAGGGGAUGCUUUCUUGACCUAUGACCGGGUUACUGGUGAAUACAAGGAAGCCGACGAGGCCAUUGUAGCAAAGGUGGUGAAGCAGCAGAUUCGUCAGAAAUCGACGACAAGUUACCAACGCUGA